rnacentral:rRNA from 1 species
UACGUAGGGUGCAAGCGUUAUCCGGAAUUAUUGGGCGUAAAGAGCUCGUAGGCGGUUUGUCGCGUCUGCUGUGAAAACUGGGGGCUCAAUCCCCAGCCUGCAGUGGGUACGGGCAGACUAGAGUGCGGUAGGGGAGAUUGGAAUUCCUGGUGUAGCGGUGGAAUGCGCAGAUAUCAGGAGGAACACCGAUGGCGAAGGCAGAUCUCUGGGCCGUAACUGACGCUGAGGAGCGAAAGCAUGGGGAGCGAACAGG